rnacentral:rRNA from 1 species
AUUGAACGCUGGCGGCAUGCUUUACACAUGCAAGUCGAACGGUAACAGCACUUCGGUGGCUGACGAGUGGCGAACGGGUGAGUAAUACAUCGGAACGUGCCUAGUAGUGGGGGAUAACUACUCGAAAGAGUAGCUAAUACCGCAUGAGAUCUAAGGAUGAAAGCAGGGGACCUUCGGGCCUUGCGCUACUAGAGCGGCUGAUGGCAGAUUAGGUAGUUGGUGGGAUAAAAGCUUACCAAGCCGACGAUCUGUAGCUGGUCUGAGAGGACGACCAGCCACACUGGGACUGAGACACGGCCCAGACUCCUACGGGAGGCAGCAGUGGGGAAUUUUGGACAAUGGGCGCAAGCCUGAUCCAGCAAUGCCGCGUGCAGGAUGAAGGCCUUCGGGUUGUAAACUGCCUUUGUACGGAACGAAAAGCCCUCUUCUAAUACAGGAGGGUCAUGACGGUACCGUAAGAAUAAGCACCGGCUAACUACGUG